CUCCAAUCUCAACAAUUCAAGGAAUCUGCUAAUCAAGGGAGGCUUAAACCUGGAGUAAUUUAGGAGCACGGCAGUUGGUCGGUUUGGAGGAAGAGUUCUUCUCCAAGCCGACAUGAAUUCAGUGACCGCUGCCUGAAAAUGUCACCGGGGCUCUUAUCAGACUACUCUCUACUACUUCUCAAGCCUUCAUCUUCCUGAGAGGAACUCACCCACAAACUAACAAGGUUAUGUGCCAAAUUAAGCCCAAGGGAAGCAAAUGAAGUGCGCUCUGAUUUCUUCUUUUUUGAUAUUUUUGGGCUGUUCUUAAUUGUGGUUUUGUUCUGUUUCUUUUUUAUGUUUGGG